GACGAACGCUGGCGGCGUGCCUAAUACAUGCAAGUAGAACGCUGAAGAGAGGAGCUUGCUCUUCUUGGAUGAGUUGCGAACGGGUGAGUAACGCGUAGGUAACCUGCCUUGUAGCGGGGGAUAACUAUUGGAAACGAUAGCUAAUACCGCAUAACAAUAGGUGACACAUGUCAUUUAUUUGAAAGGGGCAAUUGCUCCACUACAAGAUGGACCUGCGUUGUAUUAGCUAGUAGGUGAGGUAACGGCUCACCUAGGCGACGAUACAUAGCCGACCUGAGAGGGUGAUCGGCCACACUGGGACUGAGACACGGCCCAGACUCCUACGGGAGGCAGCAGUAGGGAAUCUUCGGCAAUGGGGGCAACCCUGACCGAGCAACGCCGCGUGAGUGAAGAAGGUUUUCGGAUCGUAAAGCUCUGUUGUAAGUCAAGAACGAGUGUGAGAGUGGAAAGUUCACAC
rnacentral:rRNA from 1 species